AUACGGAGGACGCGAGCGUUAUCCGGAUUCAUUGGGUUUAAAGGGUGCGCAGGCGGCCGUGCAAGUCAGCGGUGAAAGCCCGGGGCUCAACCCCGGAAGUGCCGUUGAUACUGCAUGGCUGGAAUGCGGUCGAGGCGGGCGGGACGGGGCGUGUAGGGGGGAAAUGCGUAGAUAUGCCACAGAACGCCGAUAGCGGAGGCAGCUCGCCAGGCCUGCAUUGACGCUCGGGCACGAAAGCGUGGGGAUCGAACAGGAUUAGAUACCCUGGUAGUCCACGCCGUAAACGAUGGGCGCUCGUCGUCGGCGGCAGACAGUCGGCGGCCAAGCGAAAGCGAUAAGCGCCCCACCUAGGGAGUACGGUCGCAAGGCUGAAACUCAAAUGAAUUGACGGGG
rnacentral:rRNA from 1 species